GUCCAAACGUCACAGGUAUAUGCUAUAAAUCAGGGAACCAUCUUGUUACAAACUGCCAUUUGUAACUGUUAUUUUAUUUGACAAAUUGCCCUGCUUCCCUGUGUUGUGGAGAAGCCUAAUUGCCAGCCUUCUGCCCCAUGACUAUGGACCUAGUGUGUAUGGCGAUUUGACUGUAUUUGUGGGAUCUGAGUGCUGUUUGGAUAUAUUGAGCGCUCAGAUCCAAGCCAUCUGGGGAUAGGUUGAAUGUGGGGGUUCUGUUCAGUUCAAUAGGAGUUAUGUAUUUUUGUGUCUUUUUGUGUCUUUUGCUAACAUGUGGUUAAUGGAGUCUGCCUCUAUCCCUGGAUAAUUGGAUUACUUUCCCCAUUGUCCAGGAUAGAGGCCUCUGUGAAACCGGUUUGGGCCAGAAAACCAUGCUGCCAGCCAGGCCCCAAAAGACACUUUUGCUGACUUUUGAACCCCUUGUCUGAUUUGUGCCAUUUUUUGGUGUGUUGCUCCCCUUAAUGGAUUGAUUCCAAAUAUGUAAUUUUUAUGAAGAUUGGAUGUGUAGUUUGGAAGUUAUAGUACAUGUAUAAAGACUGUAUUUUUACUGUUCUGUUUUAGUUAUGUUAUGUGAUUAUCUGAGGGAUGGGAAUUUCCCCGAAUGUAUAUUGUUCCGAUUGGUUAUACUGCUAAUUACGUGGGUGUCUCCCUUGCAUGGGCGGAAUCUCAUAAAAGCAGAGUGUGUGCCAUUAAACAUCAGAUCUUCUUGACCCUCAAUACGUAGCCUUGUCUCGUUAUUGGAGGGAACUGCUAUAUCACACUGGGGAUUGCUAUGCUCUGCAUACUCCCCUGAGCUUUUAAUCACUUAGC